CCUUCCUGGCCAGCCCCGCACUGUUCCGGAACUUCUCCUUCGGUUUGAGGAAACCCUGCCUGCUCACAAUUUCGCUCAUGCCGAGCCUCACGAGGUCGCUCGCACCUUUGAUCUGCUGACAGUCCCUGGAUUUCGAGCCUGCCUGCAGUCGCCUCCCACGGCCUCCCUCCGGGACCAACCCCCAGCCCCGUCUUUCACGGCUGCUCGUGGACGUGCACAGAGUCACCCAGCAUGCACGUUCCAGCUGAGCUUAACCAAGAAGACACUCUACCAGAGCCAAGUGUAUGAGCUGUUUACAUGCGUUGGAUGCCUAUUACCAGAUGUGUGAUUUGCAAAUGCUUAUGUUUUGCCUGCUUGAUGAAAACAUGGCCACAGGCGCACAGGAAUCUAACCCCGCAUUUCCUCCAGCGACGGUGGCUUAGCGUUCCACAAAUCGGCGUUGGUGGUGACUUUGUAGAAGGAAACCACCAUGAAAAACGGGAGUCGGCUGUAUUUGCAGCCAAGGAGAGUCCUUUGAAACAUCUGCGUACAUUACCUGGGCUCGGGGACUGUAGUGGAACAUUUGGGAUUCGUUUUCGGGGACUCCACUGCCUGCCCUGUGGUUCGGGCAUCCAGCGGCUGAAUGACGAUUUCUCCCUUGGCCAGGAGGGGGACGCAUCGUCAGCAUUCUCAGGUUUCGUGACAGCUGCCCGUAGUGACAAGUGGCAUGCUUAGCGAGAGGAACCCCGCUGCCGGCAUUGCCGCUCCACGCAUGCGCCCUGUCCCUUCCAGUCGGGCUUACAGUGAGGUGGAUUCCAGAACAAUCGAUCCGCGCCAAGGUUGAGGCUACGGCCGCUCUCCAGCUCGGUCACACUUUGUCCUCGGCCUCAGUGAUUAUUUGAGGACUUUUGAUGUGCCACCGGAAGCGUUUAAUUAUGUGUGUAAUUUUUCAAAGGCCAAAUGCACUUUUUUCCCCAGCGCGACCAGCUUUCAAAGGCAUGGCAUCGCCCAGGGCCCCAGCCCAGCCUCCCCAGAUGCCGUCCGCAUCGGCCCGCUUGUCUUACCAUUUAAUCCCACCAAUAACUUUAUAAACCCUUGUCGCACCAUGCCGCUGGGGCAGAGAGAUUAAAAUAAUGUUUGCGUUGUGACACUUGAAACAACAGCACCAUUUCCCGUCCCCUCGCGACAGAGAUGACCUUUAGGUCUGUCCCGCAUGUUCCAGGAACUGGGGCGGUGGCGGGAGGCGGUCCAGUCGGUCCUGUAUUCCUUCUGGUUUGCGGACAACGUUUCCCAGGUAGCGGGGUGUCACCGGUGUUCACAGGUUCAGACCUCCCGAGGUCCUUACGCAGCGCUGGACAGCGACACCUGCCCUCCGGCGCGGACAGAGCGCUCAGCGCAGCCAGCUGGCUGCGGUACCCUUACACCGCGCUUCUGGGGUUACCCGAGGACCACAGCGGAGGCCACACUGACCCGCGUGGUGUCCAGUCAACUCCCCUCCCCCAGCCUCGGCCUGACCACUGACCUGGAG